ensembl:miRNA MIR544A microRNA 544a
CACCUAGGGAUCUUGUUAAAAAGCAGAUUCUGAUUCAGGGACCAAGAUUCUGCAUUUUUAGCAAGUUCUCAAGUGAUG